rnacentral:rRNA from 1 species
CCUGGCUCAGGAUGAACGCUGGCGGCGUGCCUAAUACAUGCAAGUCGAACGGGAGCCUCGAUUUCGGUUGAGGUGAGAGUGGCGAACGGGUGAGUAACACAUAGCUGACCUGCCCUUCAGAGGGGGACAACCGCUGGAAACGGUGGCUAAUACCCCAUACGCUUGCUCGGGUUAGAGGCCGGGUGAGGAAAGGCUUUGGUGCUGAGGGAGGGGGCUGUGGCCCAUCAGCUAGUUGGUAGGGUAACGGCCUACCAAGGCGAAGACGGGUAGGGGACCUGAGAGGGUGACCCCCCACACGGGCACUGAGAGACGGGCCCGACUCCUACGGGAGGCAGCAGUAAGGGAUAUUGCGCCAAUGGGCGAAAGCCUGACGCAGCAACGCCGCGUGCGGGAAGAAGGCCUUCGGGUUGUAAACCGCUUUUCUAGGGGAAGAGGGAGGACGGUACCCUGGGAAUAAGUCUCGGCUAACUACGUGCCAGCAGCCGCGGUAAAACGUAGGAGGCGAGCGUUAUCCGGAAUCACUGGGCGUAAAGGGCGUCUAGGCGGCACGACAAGUGAGGUGUGAAAGCUCCUGGCUCAACUAGGAGAGUGCGCUUCAGACUGUCGAGCUUGGAGGGCAGGUGAAGGGGGUGGAAUUCCCGGUGGAGUGGUGGAAUGCGUAGAGAUCGGGAGGAACACCAGUGGCGAAAGCGGCCCCCUGGCCUGUUGCUGACGCUGAAGCGCGAAAGCGUGGGGAGCAAACGGGAUUAGAUACCCCGGUAGUCCACGCCGUAAACGAUGGAUGCUAGCUGUUAGGAGUAUCGACCCUUCUAGUAGCGAAGCUAACGCGUUAAGCAUCCCGCCUGGGGAGUACGGUCGCAAGAUUAAAACUCAAAGGAAUUGACGGGGGCCC